AUGAUUGCGACGAGGGCGAGACGUUGCUGCGACCGUGACCGCAACCGGUGGAGCGAGGCGCCAGUGAUCGUGUUUUCCGCUGGUGUUUUUGAUCUGCCGUGCUCGGUUUUUGGCAGCUUCGAUCCAAUUGAUCCCCUCCAGAAGCAUUCAGGCGUCCAGAGGUUCAACUGCGUGGGUAGGAGCUCGGCCACUGAAUGCAGGCGUCCAGAGGUUCAACUGCGUGGGCAGGAGCUCGGCUGGUUUGCUUAUAUGCAUUUUUUUCUUCAACAUUGGAUUAUUUUGACCUUGCACGCUUCUGAUGGGGAAGAAAAAAGUGACUUGUCCCUAUGGAGACAAUGGAUCUCCUCUGUAUCAAGGUGA
rnacentral:rRNA from 1 species